UACCGAGCCCGGCCGGCACCCCACCGCCGGAGCGGGGCGCCGAGCCCCCGCCAUGCCGCCGCCUCCCGCCCCAUGGCCGCGGCGCCGCUGCCUCCCCCCCGCCGGCCCCAGCUGGGCUCAAAGCAAAUUUGUCGCUCUGCGAGCUCAGCGGGGCUGCUUUUGCUACCCAGUCACGCCCUUGUAAUCAGGGUAUCUGCAUUGGUGCCGUGCUAUGAGGUGAUUUUAAAGCUGCUGAAGGGUAUUGCUGCACAGCAGCUGGGUUCUGAGCUGAUGGUGCUCUCUGCUCUGUGCUGGUGUAGCGACUGAAGCUGCCAUGCGGGGGUACCACGGUUGUGUUGACAAAGCCCCAGUUGUGCAGGGUGCAUGUGAGUUGGCAGUCUGGAGGAGAAACAGCAAUGUCAGAGGAAACUUUUAGGAGGGCUGUUUUUCCUGCUGAUGGAGUGUGAAGUUUGUGCGAAAUUAUCGCUCGAUGCCCGGCGUCCCCAGAGAAGACAGAAAGAAAGUGCUGAGAGCUGGGUCGCGGCCUUGCCGUACCAGUCGGUGGAGAUGACCAUAUGGUGCGGGAGAGAGGGCACUACGAGGGGUGCCUCAGCAGAUGUUUGAUAGCACACUUGUUGCCAAAAGCUUGAAGUGUCAGCCAGCUCCAGUAAGGUAGCGUUAGAGCUGUCCCAGGGGUGCAGUUAGGGAGGAAUGCUGCUCAGGUAACAUGUAUUGUAAUUUAGUAUUUGCAUUCGUACUGAAGUAGCUGUGUUUUGUCAGGCAGACAAAUGCAUAACAAGACCCAGAGGCUGGACAUCAGAGCCAAACAAAUUCAUACUUGUAUUAGGGACAGAUUUUUAACGUGGAGAAUAACCAACCAUUUUGUCACUGAAGAAUCAACCUUUCUCGAGCUACAUUGAUGUAAAGGAAGCUCUGUUGCAGUUUUAAAACAUUUAAAAAAAAAAAAAAAAGAAUGCAUUUCAGGCUGUGUUUUAUACGAUAGCCAAACUAGAUUGUCACAGCAAUCUUUCCUGGCCUCUGAACCUAUGAAUCUGAAACACUUAGGCCACCAAAGGAGAGGCUUCUUUUCUUUACUGUUUAAGUAGACAGGACAGACAAAUGGGAGAAGAAGGGAAUUGGUAUACCCUGGAGUAGUGCAGCAGGGAGCAUCAAGUGACUAGUCUCACCUCCCAGAGCAGGUCUCUGAGAACUGGGGGCAGAUUCAGAGCUCUUGUGAUGAAAGUCAGAAAUUCAGAGGACUAUACUUUCUCUGUAUCUGAAUAUUUUAAAUAUUAAUAAGAUGAUUUUUUUAAAAAGGAGCUGUAGUACUUGAUUGUGGUUCCUAGGCAGCAAGAAGAACUUAUUGCAAUAAAACUAUGGUACGCAGUGUAUUGAAUUUACUGCUGGUUACUGUGAGCUAUCAAAAACGUUAAAAUUAUUUCUGUAGAUUCUAUCCUUAUUUAUCUAUAAAUAUGAUAAUUGUGAAUUCCACAAGGAAGAAGAAGAGGCUUGAAUUUAGACAGCAGAGGAAAUAGCUAUGCUGAACUUAUACAACAUUAUGCCCAGCUAUUCUGUUUCUUGCAUGGAUUUACAUUUACUGAAUACAUUUACAAAAAUAAAUAGCGAUUUUCCUUUGAGAACAAAUCUGGAACUGAGUAAAUGUAAGACUUCAGAGUGCUAACAAAAGGACUGAACUUUAAAAUGCAGUUGUGCAGCCCGAAUAAUGUAAAUUAGAACAGCAGAGAGGAAUUGUAAAUUCAGGAAUCCAAAGGAAGAGCUGGUAAUGUUUUUGUGUGAAAUUAUAAACUAGGUUUUGUAGUCUGAUCUGAAACUGUUUAAUUUUCCUUUUUUUUUUUUUUUUCCUCCUAAUGGCAAAUGCAUAUGGAAUUAUUAUUAUUGUUUGUAAUUAUAACAGAAGCUAGAAGGAGCUCCAAGUUUUUGUUUCUUUUCUGAAGUGGAAGAAUCUAUUGAAAGAGGAAAACUUGGCAAAGAGAGCGUGCUGUUUUAUACCGUGACACACUGUCAGCUGCAAAAGUUAUCUGUGCAGAAUUGUCCUAUCCACAGUUCCUCCGACAGCAUAUGUAACAGACCGUGGAAAUACACAGUGGCUAUGUUACAGACGCACAGGAAAUGAAUUUCAAUUUUAGGAAAAUGUCAAGUCAGGUAAAGGAAAAAGUAUAGGCAGCAGGAGGAAGCGCUGGAAUACGUUGCUUGGUUAGCUGAUGUGUCAUUGGGAGCCUUCCCUUUUUAGGUGUAGAUGAAGAGCAGUUAUCUGGACAGCUGAUUCUGCUUUGAGGCAGAGGAAUGGACUAGAUGAUCUGAAGAUUUAGCUGUACAAAAGUGUAGCAGAUUACAUGUAUGAUUCUGAAACGUAUCUCAGAGUCAGGGAGAGUUUUCUGUAUAUGUGCAUUGGGCACCAAAGGACCUCCUGUAUCUACACACCUUUUCACUCAGUUAAUCGCAUUAGUUUCAGCUGGGCUAGUCGAACAAGGAGAAGUUCUUCUUUGGUUUUGAAGGUUUCUGUCUGUAAAUUACUAAUGCUUUCUUCUGCAUUGUGGUAAUGAUAUUUAUCCAAAAAUGAUUUUUAGCAAAAUCACAGAUGACACUGAAAGCAUACAAAUGUAUAAAAUGUAAUAUGAGGAGUCAAGCUCCAUAAACUGAAACAAGGACUGAAAACUGUGUGUAGGAAUUA